AAAAAAGGUAAGCUACUAAGAGCGAAUGGUGGAUGCCUUGACUGGUAAAGGCGAUGAAGGACGUACUAGACUGCGAUAAGCUACGGGGAGCUGUCAAGAAGCUUUGAUCCGUAGAUUUCCGAAUGGGGCAACCCAAUGUAUAGAGAUAUACAUUACCUAUAUAGGAGCGAACGAGGGGAAUUGAAACAUCUUAGUACCCUCAGGAAAAGA
rnacentral:rRNA from 1 species